rnacentral:piRNA from 1 species
AGGCAGAGUAGAAUCCAACACCAAA